rnacentral:rRNA from 1 species
AAGCACUUUAAUCGAUUUCUUCGGAUUGAAAUUUUAGUGACUGAGUGGCGGACGGGUGAGUAACGCGUGGGUAACCUGCCUCACACAGGGGGAUAACAGUUGGAAACGGCUGCUAAUACCGCAUAAGCGCACAGUACCGCAUGGUACAGUGUGAAAAACUCUGGUGGUGUGAGAUGGAUCCGCGUCUGAUUAGCUGGUUGGCAGGGUAACGGCCUACCAAGGCGACGAUCAGUAGCCGACCUGAGAGGGUGACCGGCCACAUUGGGACUGAGACACGGCCCAAACUCCUACGGGAGGCAGCAGUGGGGAAUAUUGCACAAUGGGGGAAACCCUGAUGCAGCGACGCCGCGUGAGCGAAGAAGUAUUUCGGUAUGUAAAGCUCUAUCAGCAGGGAAGAAGAAAUGACGGUACCUGACUAAGAAGCACCGGCUAAAUACGUGCCAGCAGCCGCGGUAAUACGUAUGGUGCAAGCGUUAUCCGGAUUUACUGGGUGUAAAGGGAGCGCAGGCGGAAGGCUAAGUCUGAUGUGAAAGCCCGGGGCUCAACCCCGGUACUGCAUUGGAAACUGGUCAUCUAGAGUGUCGGAGGGGUAAGUGGAAUUCCUAGUGUAGCGGUGAAAUGCGUAGAUAUUAGGAGGAACACCAGUGGCGAAGGCGGCUUACUGGACGAUAACUGACGCUGAGGCUCGAA